GAUCAAGCAUCAUAGAGGUUUUUUGGAGUUCAAGAAUGGCUAUAAAGAAUUUCAUAGGCUACAAUUUGAUUGAUAGUAACCUUCAGGCUAAUGAUUGGAAGGAGACGAUUAGAUAAUGAUUGAAUUUUCUUAGGGAUGAAUUGAAGUUGGAACUAUAUGGAAAUAGAAAGUUUGAGGUGAUUUGGAUUUAUGGAAGCAUAGUUAUGAUAUAUUGAGAGGGGUGCUUGGAUAGUGA